AACGGCCGCGGUAUUUUGACCGUGCAAAGGUAGCGCAAUCAAUUGUCUUUUAAAUGAAGGCCUGUAUGAAUGGCACAACGAGGGCUUAGCUGUCUCCUUUUUCCAGUCAAUGAAAUUGAUCUUCCCGUGCAGAAGCGGGAAUGCUAACAUAAGACGAGAAGACCCUAUGGAGCUUAUAAACGCAAGAGCAGUCCACGUCAAUCACUCUAACUUACUAGACUUAAACUAACUGAAGCCCUGCUCUCAUGUUUUUGGUUGGGGCGACCAUGGAGUAAAACUAAACCUCCACGCAGAACGAAAAUAUAUUAUUUUUCAAAUUAAGGGAAACAACCCUAAAUAUCAGAACAUCUGACUCUUAUUGAUCCGGCAAAGCCGAUCUACGAACCGAGUUACCCUAGGGAUAACAGCGCAAUCCUCUUUUAGAGUUCUUAUCGACAAGAGGGUUUACGACCUCGAUGUUGGACCAGGACAUCCUAAU
rnacentral:rRNA from 1 species